rnacentral:rRNA from 1 species
UACGUAGGGUGCAAGCGUUGUCCGGAAUUAUUGGGCGUAAAGAGCUCGUAGGCGGUGUGUCGCGUCGGCCGUGAAAACCUGGGGCUCAACUCUGGGCGUGCGGUCGAUACGGGCAUCACUGGAGUUCGGCAGGGGAGACUGGAAUUCCUGGUGUAGCGGUGAAAUGCGCAGAUAUCAGGAGGAACACCGGUGGCGAAGGCGGGUCUCUGGGCAGUAACUGACGCUGAGGAGCGAAAGCGUGGGGAGCGAACAGG